rnacentral:tRNA from 1 species
GGAAGUGUGUCUGAGCGGUCGAAAGAGCAGGCCUCGAAAUCCUGUGUAGUUUAUGCUACCGAGGGUUCAAAUCCCUCCGCUUCCG